rnacentral:rRNA from 1 species
AGUGAACGCUGGCGGCAGGCCUAAUACAUGCAAGUCGAACGACCGCACAGUAAGAGCUUGCCCUUACGGGUGGCGAGUGGCGGACGGGUGAGGAAUACAUCGGAAUCUACUUUUUCGUGGGGGAUAACGUAGGGAAACUUACGCUAAUACCGCAUAUGACCUACGGGUGAAAGCAGGGGUUCUUCGGACCUUGCGCGAUAGAAUGAGCCGAAGUCGGAUUAGCUAGGUGGCGGGGUAAAGGCCCACCAAGGCGACGCACCGUAGCUGGUCUGACAGGAUGAUUAGCCACACUGGGACUGAGACACGGUCCAGACUCCGACGGGAGGCAACAGUGGGGAAUAUUGGACAAUGGGGGCAAGCCUGAUCCAGCCAUACCGGGGGGGUGAAGAAGGCCUUCGGGUUGGUAAGCCCUUUUGUUGGGAAAGAAAAGCAGCAGGUUAAUACCCCGCUGUUCUGACGGUACCCAAAGAAUAAGCACCGGCUAACUUCGUG